UCUUUUUUGCUAGGGUUUCAGUUGUUUUUCUUUUUCUUUCAUGUCUCUUCCUGUUAAUGGUUUUGUUGUCUUACUUAUUCGUUUUUUGUGUAAUUCAUGGGUGCCACAGUGGAAGCUCAUGAGGAUUGAAAUGGUUUUUCCAAAACGUUGUUGUCAUACUAAUAGAUUAAUGCAAGGUAUAAAAUCGUGAAAUCAUGUUUUUUUUUUAUAUUUUUUUUCUUUAUUUUACUUAUAUUUUAUUUGGAAGAUGUUGAUGAUAUCUCACGAGCUUUGGAAAUACGGGUAUAGGAUCGUGAAAUCCUGAUUUUUUGGUAUUUAUUUUCUUGAUCUUUUUUUGCUUUUGAAUAGAAUUUAUUUGGAAGAUGUUGAUGAUACAAUACGAGUUUUGGAAUUUUUUUGCUUUUGAAUAGACUUUAUUUUGGAAGAUGUUGAUGAUACAAUAUGAGCUUUGGAAGAUGGGUUAAGAUUCAUUUUUUGAUGGAAUUUCCGAUGGUACCUCACGGGCUCUUCAUGUAUUUUUUUUCAUGCGGUUCUCUUGCCAAUUUUUUUUUGGAAAAUAUGGGUUUCUUCUUAACCACUCUUUGAUUUAUUAACCACGGAGUUUGGUUAUUGGUUUGGGUACAAAUGAUUUUGAUUGUGUUGAUAUCUCUCCACUAUGUCAUCAGUUAUUAACUAAAGUCUUUAUCUGCUUCGUUUCGGCGGUGAAAGCAUGGAAUGCAUUACGUGCAUGUUGCAAACGUAUCAAAAUUGGAAAGAUAUUGAUGCACCACGAUGAGGACAAUGGGCAGCAGCUUCUCAUAUACGAGAAGCUACCCAAGGAUAUUUCGGAAAGGGAUGUUUUGCUUCUAGACCCGGUCCUUGCUACAUGUAACUUUUCUGCAUAUGAAUCAAGACUUGAUCAGAUCCACUAACUCGUGAUGACAUGAAAUUUGUAGAUUUAAAUGUCUACAUGCAUGGAGCAUCUUUAGGUGCUUCUUUAUUGUUUUUCUUUUUAGCAGAUGUUUGAGUUCUUUUAGUUUUACACUACAAUUUAAGUUUUACACUUCCUGUGCUGUGAACAGUGCAACUUCAAAAUCAUGCUCUCAUUCUUAAUGUAUCUACACUGGAAGCAAUGCAGUCUUUCGAUCCCGCUACUUAAUUUUUCUAUAUUUAUAUUAGUUUUGAUA